CUACGAGUUCGAAGGUUCUACCGUGUUUCACAGUGUGUGAAGUGUAAACAGUGUGACAGAAAUGUUAGAACGUUCUGAAGAAUUGCACGGAAUAAAUUUAACGGUCAAAAAUCCGCAACCCAAAAAAUGCCCGCCCCGAACUGAUUCAUGGUGUGAGUGGCAGAGAGCACUGCCCGAAAAUGAGGCUAAAAUAACAUCAUUCAAUCACACUUACACUGCUCUUCCUGACGAUGUUUUGAAAACUAUUAAACCAAUGUACGAAGAUUUAGCAAAGGAAGAACUUCGAGAUUGGUGGAUUCACUCAAAAUAGUAACGAAAGUUAUAAUCAACUCGUUUGGAAAAUGACACCAAAGCAUCUUUAUUCCGGCAGAACGGUAACAGUUCAAAUCGUAGCACAUGCAUCUGCCUGUAUUUUUAAUGAAGGCGAAAUUAGUCUGCUCAAGAUUUUGGAAGCACUCGGAGUGUUCUGUGGCCGAAACGCCCAUGCCUAUGUGACCGAAAAGGAUUAGUUGAUUGUUACACUUGCCGAGGAAGAAUGGCUCGUAGGCAGAAUCAAACCGAUGUUUUAGAGGCUGCCACGGAUGCAGAAGGGUUACUGUAUGGUUCCGCAAUCGACGAUUCACUGUCCGUUUAAAUAAAUCAACUUCAAUUGCAAAAGAUAUAUGUAUUUGAAUCUUUAAACGCGAUUAUGUCAGAAUCGUCUUUUUUGAAAAAUAACUUUGCUGUAGACAAUCCGUACCAAAUUUAUACCACUUAUUUAUUAUAAUAAUAGCUAUGGCUUGGACGAAGGAUUUCGUAUUUUGUUGGGGAAAAAAAUUGUAACAAAAAACCGAAAAUUUAACACCUCCAUAAAUGAAUUUUUUGUUAAAACUGUCCCCAUUUUUUUUUUAAUUAAAAUUUUGACAAAUCCUUGACAAGUCCAGGCCCAAGCCAAUGCAAUGUACUAAUGUAAUCUUUUUGAAUUCUGAUUUCAGAUGAACCGUUCUAGCUAUCAUAUCCACUGCAACUGGUUCUCAAAAAUUUUUAUAUGAAAAGAAUUGUACAAGCACAUGCACAUGUGUACUAGUGAAUUUCGUUGACAGUUUUUCAAUAAACAUUUAUUUUCUUGUGGAAAAAAAAUAAAGAAAAUCACGUUUUUUCGUCCGCUUAAGUGAGAAAACACGAAUAUAAUCAAA